GGGGAUGUAGCUCAGAUGGUAGAGCGCUCGCUUAGCAUGCGAGAAGUACGGGGAUCGAUACCCUGCAUUUCCA
rfam:Daphnia pulex DAPPTscaffold_261_Cont7988, whole genome shotgun sequence.